rnacentral:rRNA from 13 species
UGGCAGAAGCCAGCCUGACUGCGAGACUGACAAGUCGAGCAGAGUCGAAAGACGGCCAUAGUGAUCCGGUGGUCCCAAGUGGGAGGGCCAUCGCUCAACGGAUAAAAGGUACGCCGGGGAUAACAGGCUGAUACUGCCCAAGAGUCCAUAUCGACGGCAGUGUUUGGCACCUCGAUGUCGGCUCAUCUCAUCCUGGGGCUGGAGCAGGUCCCAAGGGUACGGCUGUUCGCCGU